rnacentral:rRNA from 2 species
UAGCGGUGCGCCUAACACAUGCAAGUCGAGCGAUAUAGCGGCGAACGGGUGAGUAACACGUUGGAACCUGCCUCGAACUCAGGGAUAGCCCACUGAAAAGUGGAUUAAUACCGGAUAGUCCCGAAAGGGUAAAGAUUUUUCGGCUCGAGAGGGGCCUGCGGCCUAUCAGCUUGUUGGUAGUGUAAUAGACUACCAAGGCUAUGACGGGUAUCUGGUGUGAGAGCAUGACCAGACACAAUGGAACUGAGACAAGGUCCAUACUCC